rnacentral:rRNA from 1 species
UCAGUAACGGCGAGUGAAGCGGUAACAGCUCAAAUUUGAAAUCUGGCCCUUUCAGGGUCCGAGUUGUAAUUUGUAGAAGAUGUUUCGGGUGUGGCUCCGGUCUAAGUUCCUUGGAACAGGACGUCGUAGAGGGUGAGAAUCCCGUAUGUGACUGGCUGCCUCCGCCCAUGUGAAACUCUUUCGACGAGUCGAGUUGUUUGGGAAUGCAGCUCAAAAUGGGUGGUAAAUUUCAUCUAAAGCUAAAUAUUGGCCAGAGACCGAUAGCGCACAAGUAGAGUGAUCGAAAGAUGAAAAGCACUUUGGAAAGAGAGUUAAACAGUACGUGAAAUUGUUGAAAGGGAAGCGCUUGCAAUCAGACUUGCACGCGGCCGAUCAUCCGGGGUUCUCCCCGGUGCACUCGGUCGCGUUCAGGCCAGCAUCGGUUUGGGUGGUGGGAUAAAGGCCUUGGGAAUGUAGCUUCUUUCGGGGAGUGUUAUAGCCCUCGGUGCAAUGCCGCCAAUCCAGACCGAGGACCGCGCUUCGGCUAGGAUGCUGGCGUAAUGGUUGUAAGCGACCCGUCU